GUAUGGCAACCAAAAUCCAAUGUAUUCAAGACGUCAUAAUGGUAACGUCCAAUCAACGUCAAAUUAUAACGUCAUUUGACUUUGAUCUUUAGUUAGUUUUAGGUUGUGGCAUUAACUAACCAAAAUCCAACGUCGAGCCAACGUCUCAAGCCAACGUCACAUUGACAUCAAAAACUUAUGUUUUGUCGUCAGGUAUGGCAACCAUAAUCCAAUGUUUCCUAGACGUCAUAAUGGCAACGUCCACACAACGUCAAAUUAAAACAUCAUUUGAUGUUGAUCUGUAGUUAGUUUUAGGUUGUGGCAUUAACUAACCAAAAUCCAACGUCGAGCCAACGUCUCAAGCCAACGUCACAUUGACAUCAAAUACUGAUACUUAGUCGUCAGGUAUGGCAACCAAAAUCCAAUGUUUCCUAUACGUCAUAAUGGCAACGUCUACACAAUGUCAAAUUAAAACAUCAUUUGAUGUUGAUCUGUAGUUAGUUUUAGGUUGUGGCAUUAACUAACCAAAAUCCAACAUCAAGACAACGUCUCAAGCG
ensembl:lncRNA